rnacentral:rRNA from 1 species
ACCAAUGACCAAGUCUCCCUAAAUGCACCCAAUCCGGUCAGCUCUCGGGAGCUAAGCAGGCUUGAGCUUGGUGAGGUGCUUGGAUGGGCGACCACCGGGGCUUUCCAGGCAUUGUAGGCG